CAAUACGAAGGGCCCGAGCGUUAUUCGGAAUCACUGGGCUUAAAGCGUACGUAGGCUGGUAUAUAGGCGUCUUGUGAAAUCCCUCGGCUCAACCGAGGAACUGCAAGGCGAACCAUAUAUCUUGAGACAGACAGAGGUCGUCGGAACGAUUGGUGGAGUGGUGAAAUGCGUUGAUAUCAAUCGGAACGCCGAAGGAGAAGUCAGGCGACUGGGUCUGUUCUGACGCUGAGGUACGAAAGCGUGGGUAGCGAACGGGAUUAGAUACCCCGGUAGUCCACGCCGUAAACAAUGUGCACUAGGUCGAGGGCGUUCUGACGCGACUCUCGGCCGAAGCGAAAGUGUUAAGUGCACCGCCUGGGGAGUACGGUCGCAAGGCUAAAACUCAAAGGAAUUGACGGGGGCUCACACAAGCGGUGGAGCAUGUGGCUUAAUUCGAAGCAACGCGAAGAACCUUAUCCUAGGUUUGACAUACACGGAUUAGCUAUAAGAAACUAUAGUGACACCUUCGGGUGGAACGUGAACAGGUGCUGCAUGGCUGUCGUCAGCUCGUGCUGUGAAGUGUCGGGUUAAGUCCCUUAACGAGCGCAACCCUUAUCGUUAGUUGCUAACAGGUAAUGCUGAGGACUCUAGCGAGACUGCCGGUGUUAAACCGGAGGAAGGUGGGGAUGACGUCAAGUCCGCAUGGCCUUUAUGCCUAGGGCUGCACACGUGCUACAAUGGCAAGUACAGAACGAUGCAAUACCGCGAGGUGGAGCAAAUCGCCAAAGCUUGCCCCAGUUCGGAUUGCAGGCUGCAACUCGCCUGCAUGAAGUUGGAAUCGCUAGUAAUCGCGGAUCAGCACGCCGCGGUGAAUACGUUCCUGAGCCUUGUACACACCGCCCGUCAAGUCAUGGAAGCUGGUAGUGCCUUAAGUCGCCGAGAUCA
rnacentral:rRNA from 1 species